rnacentral:rRNA from 1 species
GAUGAACGCUGGCGGCGUGCCUAAUACAUGCAAGUCGAACGCACAGCGAAAGGUGCUUGCACCUUUCAAGUGAGUGGCGAACGGGUGAGUAACACGUAGACAACCUGCCUCAAGGCUGGGGAUAACAUUUGGAAACAGAUGCUAAUACCGAAUAAAACUCAGUGUCGCAUGACACAAAGUUAAAAGGCGCUUUGGCGUCACCUAGAGAUGGAUCCGCGGUGCAUUAGUUAGUUGGUGGGGUAAAGGCCUACCAAGACAAUGAUACAUAGCCGAGUUGAGAGACUGAUCGGCCACAUUGGGACUGAGACACGGCCCAAACUCCUACGGGAGGCUGCAGUAGGGAAUCUUCCACAAUGGGCGAAAGCCUGAUGGAGCAACACCGCGUGUGUGAUGAAGGCUUUCGGGUCGUAAAGCACUGUUGUAUGGGAAGAACAGCUAGAAUAGGGAAUGAUUUUAGUUUGACGGUACCAUACCAGAAAGGGACGGCUAAAUACGUGCCAGCCGCCGCCGUAA